UAUUAAAAAUUUCAUCCAUUUCUACCGUUAAAAACUGGUGUGCUUAACGGAAUAACCAGACAAUAACAUGUGACGUGCCACGUGUAUCUCAUCCUGGCAUACAUGGACAAGUUUUUAACCGUAGAAAUGGAUGAAAUUUUUAACA
rfam:Gossypium hirsutum cultivar TM-1 unplaced genomic scaffold scaffold568.1, whole genome shotgun sequence